CAGUGUUGGUCAUGCGGGGCGAGUGUUUGAUAAUCUUACCCGUAGUGCCAUCACCGUU
rnacentral:pre_miRNA from 1 species